UGAAGGCAGUGGAUUUUCAAGGCGCCGCCUUUCCUCGAUUUUAAAAGCACCACGGAAAUCAGCCAGGUUCUCUGACCAAGAUCAGCAAGAAAAUGUGGUGGAACGUGUCAAACCAGUGGAAAAGAGGAAUUCAAGACGAGUCAGCUUUGCCCCUG